UACGUAGGGUCCGAGCGUUGUCCGGAAUUAUUGGGCGUAAAGGGCUCGUAGGCGGUUUGUCGCGUCGGGAGUGAAAACACGGGGCUUAACCCCGUGCCUGCUUCCGAUACGGGCAGACUAGAGGUAUGCAGGGGAGAACGGAAUUCCUGGUGUAGCGGUGAAAUGCGCAGAUAUCAGGAGGAACACCGGUGGCGAAGGCGGUUCUCUGGGCAUUACCUGACGCUGAGGAGCGAAAGUGUCGGGAGCGAACAGG
rnacentral:rRNA from 1 species